AAAAACAUAUUUCAACCAUUUAUCUUUUUCCCACCGAAGCAGCCCUCAAUCGCCGUAAUCAAUCCCUAAUCGACACAAACUUCCCUCUUUAACUCUUCUUUUCAACCUCUGCCGGAAUCCGUCAGUUUGGUUCUGAUCAACCUCUCGCAGGUUGAGUAUUGAAAAUAUUUCAUUGACAAUUGAGAAAACACAAUGAGUUCUCCACCUCUUCUUGAUGAUGAAGAUGAUAACGAACCAUCUUUCAUUGACGAGGCUGACAUUAUCCAUGAAGUUGAAAUGGAUAAUGAAGAUCUUCCUGACGCUGAUGAUGAUUAUGAACUUGAGGACGAGGAUGGUGAUUUUCUGCACAAGUUCACGGCUCAUACUGGGGAGUUGUACUCAGUUGCCUCCAGCCCAACUGAUGCAACCCUAGUGGCUACUGGGGGUGGUGAUGACAGAGGAUUUCUCUGGAAGAUUGGCCAAGGAGAUUGGGCUUUUGAGCUUCCAGGUCAUGAAGAAUCUGUAUCUAGUUUAGCUUUUAGCUAUGAUGGAAAGCGUUUGGCAUCAGGAAGCUUAGAUGGAAUUAUUAAAGUCUGGGAUGUAUCAGGAAAUUUGGAAAGUAAAAAACUUGAAGGUCCUGGAGGGGGCAUUGAGUGGCUUAGUUGGCAUCCAAGAGGACAUAUACUCUUAGCUGGUUCUGAGGAUUUUACCAUUUGGAUGUGGAAUACUGAUAAUGCUGCCUUACUUAAUACAUUUAUUGGUCAUGGUGAUAGUGUAAGCUGUGGUGAUUUUACUCCUGAUGGGAAAAUAAUAUGUACUGGAUCUAACGAUGCAACCUUGAGAAUAUGGAAUCCAAAAAGUGCAGAAAGCACUCAUGUUGUGCGGGGCCAUCCAUACCAUACCGAGGGGUUAACAUGCUUGACAAUAAAUUCAACUUCAACUCUCGCACUUUCUGGUUCUAAGGAUGGAUCUGCUCAUAUUGUGAAUAUUACCACAGGAAGAGUUGUUGAUAAUAAUGCCCUCGCUCCUCAUUCAGAUUCCAUCGAGUGUGUUGGGUUUUCACCAAGUGAUUCGUGGGCCGCAGUUGGAAGCAUGGAUAAAAAAUUGAUCAUCUGGGAUAUAGAGCAUUUAAUACCCCGAGCCACCUGUGAACACGAGGAUGGAGUGACAUGUUUGGCAUGGCUCGGUGCAUCAUAUGUAGCUACUGGUUGUGUGGAUGGUAAGGUGAGAUUGUGGGAUAGCCGGUCUGGUGAAUGUGUAAAAACAUUAAAGGGACACGCUGAUGCCAUUCAGUCUCUUUCUGUGUCUGCUAAUCGGGAUUACCUUGUUUCGGCCUCGCUUGAUGGAACAGCUUGUGCUUUUGAGGUUGAAAAUUUUCGGUAACCAAUCCCUGUUGUAGCAUUGCGUAGGAUUGAGGUUCUCAAUCAUCAAAGCAGAAUCUUUAUGUUAUAUCCUUGGCUUGGAGGUGUGGUGUUACUGUACACAAGCCAGAUUGUUAUUUUUAUGCUGAAAGUAAAAAGGAGAAGGAUGAUCUCAAUCCUAUUGAAAUGUGCCAAUGUUAUAUGUUUUAAUAAUAAUAAUAAUAAUAAUUAUUAUUAUUAUAAUUAUACAGCAAAAAGAUGGGCGCCUAAUUCCAAUACAAUAGGGGUCUAUCAGUGCAAGUCAGCUGAACACCGUGAUUGAUGAGUGGGUAGUUGGGUUAGGUGUGCCUCUCGUCCAGUGGGAAGUAUUGAGGCGAGUCUCCUACCCCCUUCCUUUUCCUCUCUCCUUAGGUUACAGAUUUGGUCAAGAGGAAGAAACUUAUAAUAUUGAAACUGCUCAUGGUUAUUUUGGCCGAUUGAUCUUCCAAUAUACAAGUUUCAAUAGUUUUCGUUUUUUACAUUUCUUUCUAGCUGCUUGGCCUGUAGUAGGUAUUUGGUUUACCGCUUUAGUAGGGGUGGACAAAUCAAACUAAACUGCACUGCACUACUAAAAACUGUAUUGAACUAAAAACUAGUUCAGAAAAACUAAACUGCACUAAAAAAUAGUUUAGAAAAACUGAACUGAACUGCUUUUGUUUUAUUAAACUGUACUGAACUGAACUAUACUUAACUAUACUAAACUACACUAUAAACUGAACUGAACUACUAACUAUACUAAUUUUGAACUGAAUUAUACUAAUUUUAACCAAGAAUUGCACUAACUAUACAACACUAACAACUACAGCACUAACUAGUAAAAUUGUAUUAAUAAAACUGCACUUCAUCCUGUAAAUUAAACAUGAGAAGAGCAUCGUUAAUAAAAAUCAAAGAACAUAUAAUAUAAUGCUAAAUAAAACUUACAAACUGAAAAUAAGUCUUUAUAAACUCUUCAAUACAAAAUAGAACUUCAAAUCUCCAGCACAUAAUCCUUUUCUAAAGACAAAAGGUAUUAACACGCCAUCACAUGUAUCAUAAAGUAGUAACCAACAAGAUUAAACUGUCCUCAGCCAUGGUUGAAAUGGCCAGAAUAGUUUGUAAUUUUUUGACAGUAGAUUUUGAUUCAUGAUCUUGUAAUGGUCUGAGAAUUUUAUGGAUUUCAGGACCAAGGCCACUACCAAGCAUGCAAUCUGCCUCAUCCAACACCUGCUCAAGAAGCAUGAAAAAGAGUAGUGUGAUCAAUGAUAGGAGCUUCCAAGAACUG